CUUCAAGAUCACCAUCAUUUUCUAUAGUUUCAGAGUUAUCUGCCAAUGAUAGUGUUUCAGUCACAUCAAGUAUGUCAUAGCCACAGUAUAUUCACCUGAUUGUGAUGAAUUUUG